CAGAGACAGCGUGAGCACGCACUGACAUCAUCACAUCGCUCCGUGUUUCCCUUACAUCAUCAACAACUUCGGUACUGCCCCUUGGAACCAACAGAAGAAACUUGCAUGUUUCCCGAAAGACAAAUUAAUUGUCCUCAUUUUGAAAAGAUGGAUCUCAAAAUCAUACAGUCACUGCUGGG